CCUUCGAUAGCUCAGUUGGUAGAGCGGUGGACUGUAGUUGGAAAACAAGCAAUAGAAAUCCAUAGGUCGCUGGUUCAAAUCCGGCUCGAAGGA
rfam:Drosophila simulans chromosome 3R, whole genome shotgun sequence.